GCAAGCCCUUGAAUGCGUCUGAUUCAAUUACUGAAAAAUCAUUUUUUGACAAUGACAAGUCUUCAAUUCCUUGAUUAAGCUCAAUCUCACCUGUUUGGAGGAGAGACAUAUGCAUCCCGACGGGCACAAAAAACUUUCCGUGGUCGAACUUAUUACGUCUGCUGUUAUAUUUUGACAGAAAAUAGCCACCGUCAACCAUAGCAACUCUAAACUUGGAACCUACACACGUAAUUUAUUUUUUAAAAAUAUGUAUACAUAUGUAAUAAAAUACUAGCGCAUGCCUUAGCAUCAGGAUGAUAGGCGGUGUCGGGUGCAGGAGCACACGUCUGUUAUAUGUCCCAGGAUAAUCCGGUUUGUC